rnacentral:rRNA from 1 species
AUCGGAUUUACUGGGAGUAAAGCGUGCGUAGGCGGCUUUUUAAGUCGGAUGUGAAAUCCCCGAGCUUAACUUGGGAAUUGCAUUCGAUACUGGGAAGCUAGAGUAUGGGAGAGGAUGGUAGAAUUCCAGGUGUAGCGGUGAAAUGCGUAGAGAUCUGGAGGAAUACCGAUGGCGAAGGCAGACAUCUGGCCUAAUACUGACGCUGAGGUACGAAAGCAUGGGGAGCAAACAGGAUUAGAUACCCUGGUAGUCCAUGCCGUAAACGAUGUCUACUAGCCGUUGGGGCCUUUGAGGCUUUAGUGGCGCAGCUAACGCGAUAAGUAGACCGCCUGGGGAGUACGGUCGCAAGACUAAAACUCAAAUGAAUUGACGGGGGCCCGCACAAGCGGNGGAGCAUGUGGUUUAAUUCGAUGCAACGCGAAGAACCUUACCUGGCCUUGACAUACUAGAAACUUUCCAGAGAUGGAUUGGUGCCUUCGGGAAUCUAGAUACAGGUGCUGCAUNGCUGUCGACAGCUCGUGUCGUGAGAUGUUGGGUUAAGUCCCGCAACGAGCGCAACCCUUUUCCUUACUUGCCAGCAUUUCGGAUGGGAACUUUAAGGAUACUGCCAGUGACAAACUGGAGGAAGGCGGGGACGACGUCAAGUCAUCAUGGCCCUUACGGCCAGGGCUACACACGUGCUACAAUGGUCGGUACAAAGGGUUGCUACACAGCGAUGUGAUGCUAAUCUCAAAAAGCCGAUCGUAGUCCGGAUUGGAGUCUGCAACUCGACUCCAUGAAGUCGGNAUCGCUAGUAAUCGCGGAUCAGAAUGCCGCGGUGAAUACG